ACAAAAACAGAAAAAAGCAUCGGGCUCGUUGGCAGAGCACCGACCAAGGGCAAAACAAAACAAAAACACAGCCGAGGGGGUUGCUGCUGUUUCAGACAAGCAAAAAGAAUGCCGGAUCGAAGUCGAGCGACCAGGUCGCGAGGCCGAGGGAUCCAGGCGACUCGCGGGAGGGUUUUUCAACUCUCCUGCGCCUUGGGCCGUCGAAGCACCCAAAUUUCGGUUGGGAGCUCCGUCGCCUUAAGUAAUGACGAGCUCGACCGCGACUCCGGGCUUACUUGGAACGGUGGGUCGCAAAAACAAAACAAAAGCACUCGGCAUCGUCGGGAGGUUGGCCUCGACGUUAUAAGCACCCGAGUAUGUACUUUCUCACGUAUACCGAUAGUUUGUUUCUUGAAAAAACAAAACCCGGGUGCGGAGAACCUGGGGGUCGGCCGGCGUACCUCGUUGCGCGCCGCGACCGACCGAAUUGGCAUCUAUUACUAUUAUUUUGA
rnacentral:misc_RNA from 1 species